rnacentral:lncRNA from 1 species
UAGAAGUCAGGUCGGAUUAAGCCAUAGUACGGAAAAAACUAUGCUACCUGUGAGCCCCGUCCAAGGACGUUAAAAGAAGUCAGGCCAUCACAAAUGCCAUAGCUUGAGUAAACUAUGCUGCCUGUAGCUCCACCUGAGAAGGUGUAAAAAAUCUGGGAGGCCACAAACCAUGGAAGCUGUACGCAUGG